GUAUCGUCACGCAUGCGCAGAACGUCUCUUGCCGCGGAAAAAAUUUCGUUAACUGUCAGCACUGAUUUCGUGCAGAAUUCGACGUGUCUUCGUUCGAUCGGGGGAAACGAGCGAUCGGCGAGCGAUUAAUUUUUUCCACACCACGGCCGCAGCAGAUUCUACCUAAUGGUCUUUCCCUAUGUGUCCGCGUCCGAGACUACCGGGGCCACUCGCUGCAACGUUUCGCGCGGAGGAUCUAUUUAUCAAGGGAUACGUUGCCGACGCUUUGCGCUCCGGUCCUUUUGAACGCUCGCGUUUAUCCGGUUCGCAAAAACGACGGAGGAAGAAUCGCUGACGAUGAAAGGAAGAGAAUCAACAGAGUGAAAUGGAAACUGUGGGAGGAGCGCUUCGUCGUCGCCGUUUAAAAAAUGGAUAGAGGAUUCAUAGGAGCAGCGAAGAGCACGACAUAGAUGAGCCGCUCGAGCAGUUAGCGAUCGCGUCUCAAGAUCGAUCGUCCACCUAAUUCACUACUGCCAGGACUUGAAGAGGAAGCUCGACGAGAGGAGGCCGACGAGAGUCGCCCAUCCGACGAGGAGAUCGAGUGCGCCCCUUCUGGUUCCGGUCGCGCCGCCGUUCAUGCAAGUUUCCCGAAUGCUGACGAUCUUCAGGCUACGGCGGCCCAGCAGAUUGUGAACGCCUCGUUUGUCGCUCUUCUGCAGAGUAUGCUCCCGCGACAGUAGGAGCGAGUAGAGCUGAAUGUUCCCGGGAUUCCGGGAACAGAAAGUCAACACCAUGUCCGAGGCCACAGCCUUCAUUACGUGCACGGUUCCCACGAACUGGUUGUAGUUCUUCUCCGCCAGGGUACCUGCCAAUUAAAUCAGCAGCUGGUUAAAAAGCGCGCCGCCACGUCACAGCUUGUGCAGAGCCUGCUAACAAAUUUCCGCUUUUCGAAUCCAUCGAGCAGAAUCUCUCGCGCGAAUGGAAGCUCGUACAAGAAAGGAGAAAUGAACGUGUCAUCGAUGUCGACGGCGCGUUUAUCUUCAUUUUGGCCCGGUGCUCUUUGUGUUUUCUCUCUUUUCUGUAUUUUUUUUUUUUUUUAUGAAAUACACGAAUAUUCUCAUAUAUGCGCGAGAAAUAGACGGAAAUUCUCGAAAUGA